GCUUGGGCGAGAGUAGUACUAGGAUGGGUGACCCCCUGGGAAGUCCUCGUGUUGCACCCC
rnacentral:rRNA from 1 species